UACAGAGGAGCCAAGCGUUGUCCGGAUUGACUGGGCGUAAAGCGCACGCAGGCGGUUGCGCGCGUGGGGUGUGAAAUCUGGCCGCUUAACGGCCAGGCGCCAUCCCAUACGGCGCGACUGGAGGGCUGCAGAGGUCGAUGGAAUUGCCGGUGUAGUGGUGAAAUGCGUAGAGAUCGGCAGGAACACCCAGGGGGAAACCAGUCGACUGGGCAGCACCGUGACGCUGAGGUGCGAGAGCGUGGGGAGCGAACCGG
rnacentral:rRNA from 1 species